rnacentral:rRNA from 1 species
CCUACGGGGGGCAGCAGUGGGGAAUAUUGGGCAAUGGGCGCAAGCCUGACCCAGCAACGCCGCGUGAAGGAAGAAGGCUUUCGGGUUGUAAACUUCUUUUCUCAGGGACGAAGGAAGUGACGGUACCUGAGUUAUAAGCCACGGCUAACUACGUGCCAGCAGCCGCGGCAAUACGUAGGUGGCAAGCGUUAUCCGGAUUUACUGGGUGUAAAGGGCGUGUAGGCGGGACUGCAAGUCAGAUGUGAAAACCAUGGGCUCAACCUAUGACCUGCAUUUGAAACUGUAGUUCUUGAGUACUGGAGAGGCAGGCGGAAUUCCUAGUGUAGCGGUGAAAUGCGUAGAUAUGAGGAGGAACACCAGUGGCGAAGGCGGUCUGCUGGACAGCAACUGACGCUGAGGCGCGAAAGCGUGGGGAGCAAACAGGAUUAGAUACCCGGGUAGUC